CACUAUCGUUAACUGAAUACAUAGGUUAACGAGGCGAACCGGGGGAACUGAAACAUCUAAGUACCCCGAGGAAAAGAAAUCAACCGAGAUUCCCCCAGUAGCGGCGAGCGAACGGGGAGCAGCCCAGAGUCUGAAUCAGCUUGUGUGUUAGUGGAACGGUCUGGAAAGUCCGACGGUACAGGGUGAUAGUCCCGUACACCAAAAUGCACAGGUUGUGAACUCGAAGAGUAGGGCGGGACACGUGGUAUCCUGUCUGAAUAUGGGGGGACCAUCCUCCAAGGCUAAAUACUCCUGACUGACCGAUAGUGAACCAGUACCGUGAGGGAAAGGCGAAAAGAACCCCGGCGAGGGGAGUGAAAAAGAACCUGAAACCGUGUACGUACAAGCAGUGGGAGCACCUUCGGGUGUGACUGCGUACCUUUUGUAUAAUGGGUCAGCGACUUAUAUUCUGUAGCAAGGUUAACCGUAUAGGGGAGCCGCAGGGAAACCGAGUCUUAACUGGGCGUUAAGUUGCAGGGUAUAGACCCGAAACCCGGUGAUCUAGCCAUGGGCAGGUUGAAGGUUGGGUAACACUAACUGGAGGACCGAACCGACUAAUGUUGAAAAAUUAGCGGAUGACUUGUGGCUGGGGGUGAAAGGCCAAUCAAACCGGGAGAUAGCUGGUUCUCCCCGAAAGCUAUUUAGGUAGCGCCUCGUGAACUCAUCUUCGGGGGUAGAGCACUGUUUCGGCUAGGGGGUCAUCCCGACUUACCAACCCGAUGCAAACUACGAAUACCGAAGAAUGUUAUCACGGGAGACACACGGCGGGUGCUAACGUCCGUCGUGAAGAGGGAAACAACCCAGACCGCCAGCUAAGGUCCCAAAGUCAUGGUUAAGUGGGAAACGAUGUGGGAAGGCACAGACAGCCAGGAUGUUGGCUUAGAAGCAGCCAUCAUUUAAAGAAAGCGUAAUAGCUCACUGGUCGAGUCGGCCUGCGCGGAAGAUGUAACGGGGCUAAACCAUGCACCGAAGCUGCGGCAGCGACACUAUGUGUUGUUGGGUAGGGGAGCGUUCUGUAAGCCUGCGAAGGUGUGCUGUGAGGGUUGCUGGAGGUAUCAGAAGUGCGAAUGCUGACAUAAGUAACGAUAAAGCGGGUGAAAAGCCCGCUCGCCGGAAGACCAAGGGUUCCUGUCCAACGUUAAUCGGGGCAGGGUGAGUCGACCCCUAAGGCGAGGCCGAAAGGCGUAGUCGAUGGGAAACAGGUUAAUAUUCCUGUACUUGGUGUUACUGCGAAGGGGGGACGGAGAAGGCUAUGUUAGCCGGGCGACGGUUGUCCCGGUUUAAGCAUGUAGGCUGAUUGUCCAGGCAAAUCCGGAUAAUCAAGGCUGAGGUGUGAUGACGAGGCACUACGGUGCUGAAGUAACAAAUGCCCUGCUUCCAGGAAAAGCCUCUAAGCAUCAGGUAACAUCAAAUCGUACCCCAAACCGACACAGGUGGUCAGGUAGAGAAUACCAAGGCGCUUGAGAGAACUCGGGUGAAGGAACUAGGCAAAAUGGUGCCGUAACUUCGGGAGAAGGCACGCUGGUGUGUAGGUGAAGUCCCUGCGGAUGGAGCUGAGACCAGUCGAAGAUACCAGCUGGCUGCAACUGUUUAUUAAAAACACAGCACUGUGCAAACACGAAAGUGGACGUAUACGGUGUGACGCCUGCCCGGUGCCGGAAGGUUAAUUGAUGGGGUUAUCCGUAAGGAGAAGCUCUUGAUCGAAGCCCCGGUAAACGGCGGCCGUAACUAUAACGGUCCUAAGGUAGCGAAAUUCCUUGUCGGGUAAGUUCCGACCUGCACGAAUGGCGUAAUGAUGGCCAGGCUGUCUCCACCCGAGACUCAGUGAAAUUGAACUCGCUGUGAAGAUGCAGUGUACCCGCGGCAAGACGGAAAGACCCCGUGAACCUUUACUAUAGCUUGACACUGAACAUUGAGCCUUGAUGUGUAGGAUAGGUGGGAGGCUUUGAAGCGUGGACGCCAGUCUGCGUGGAGCCAACCUUGAAAUACCACCCUUUAAUGUUUGAUGUUCUAACGUUGGCCCCUUACCGGGGUUGCGGACAGUGUCUGGUGGGUAGUUUGACUGGGGCGGUCUCCUCCCAAAGCGUAACGGAGGAGCACGAAGGUUAGCUAAUCCUGGUCGGACAUCAGGAGGUUAGUGCAAUGGCAUAAGCUAGCUUGACUGCGAGCGUGACGGCGCGAGCAGGUGCGAAAGCAGGUCAUAGUGAUCCGGUGGUUCUGAAUGGAAGGGCCAUCGCUCAACGGAUAAAAGGUACUCCGGGGAUAACAGGCUGAUACCGCCCAAGAGUUCAUAUCGACGGCGGUGUUUGGCACCUCGAUGUCGGCUCAUCACAUCCUGGGGCUGAAGUAGGUCCCAAGGGUAUGGCUGUUCGCCAUUUAAAGUGGUACGCGAGCUGGGUUUAGAACGUCGUGAGACAGUUCGGUCCCUAUCUGCCGUGGGCGCUGGAGAAUUGAGGGGGGCUGCUCCUAGUACGAGAGGACCGGAGUGGACGCAUCACUGGUGUUCGGGUUGUCAUGCCAAUGGCACUGCCCGGUAGCUAAAUGCGGAAGAGAUAAGUGCUGAAAGCAUCUAAGCACGAAACUUGCCCCGAGAUGAGUUCUCCCUGAGACUUUAAGUCUCCUGAAGGAACGUUGAAGACGACGACGUUGAUAGGCCGGGUGUGUAAGCGCAGCGAUGCGUUGAGCUAACCGGUACUAAUGAACCGUGAGGCUUAACCUU
rnacentral:rRNA from 1 species